rnacentral:rRNA from 1 species
AGCGCCAUAGGGCAUUUUUCUGCAAUGGGGAAAGGGUGAGUAGCAUCCUGCCGUGAAGUGAUAAAGGGUUCGACUCGUAAAACUCUGUCGUUAGGGAAGAACAAAAUUGUACGUAGCGGUGCACAUCUAGACGGGUACCUAAUCAGAAAGGCUACGGGCUAACUACGUGUCAGCAGCCGCGGUAAUACGUAGGUGGCAAGCGUGAUCCGGAAUUUAUUGGGGGUAAAACGCGCGUAAGCAGUUUCUUAAGUUUGAUGUGAAAGCGCACGGCUCAACCGUGGAGGGUCAUUGGAAACUGGGAAACUAGAGUGCAGAAGAGGAAAGAGGAAUUCCAUGUGUAGCGGCGAAAUGUUCAGAGAUAUGGAGGAACACCAGUGGCGAAGGCGACUUUAUGGUCUGUAACUGUCGUUGAUGUGCGAAUGCGCGGGGAUCAAACAGGAUUAGAUAUCAUGGUAGUCCACGCCGUAAACGAUGAGUGCUAAGUGUUAGGGGGUUUCCGCCCCUUAGUGCUGCAGCUAACGCAUUAAGCACUCCGCCUGGGGAGUACGACCGCAAGGUUGAAACUCAAAGGAAUUGACGGGGACCCGCACAAGCGGUGGAGCAUGCGGUUUAAUUUGAAGCAACGCGAAGAACCUUACCAAAUCUUGACAUCCUUUGAAAGCUCUAGAGAUAGAGCCUUCCCCUUCGGGGGACAAAGUGACAGGUGGUGCAUGGUUGUCGUCAGCUCGAGUCGUGAGAUGUUGGGGUAAGUCCCGCAACGAGCGCAACCCUUAAGGUUAGUUGCCAUCAUUAAGUUGGGCACUCUAGGUUGACUGCCGGUGACAAACCGGAGGAAGGUGGGAAUGACGUCAAAUCAUCAUGCCCCUUAUGAUUUGGGCUACACACGUGCUACAAUGGACAAUACAAAGGGCAGCUAAACCGCGAGGUCAUGCAAAUCCCAUAAAGUUGUUCUCAGUUAGGAUUGUAGUCUGCAACUCGACUACAUGAAGCUGGAAUCGCUAGUAAUCGUAGAUCAGCAUGCUACGGUGAAUACGUUCCCGGGUCUUGUACACACCGCCCGUCACACCUCUAGAGUUUGUAACACCCGAAGCCGGUGGAGUAACCAUUUAGGAGCUAGCCUCGAAGGGACAAUAGUGAAAAAAAAAAAAAACCC